rnacentral:rRNA from 1 species
GACGAACGCUGGCGGCGUGCCUAAUACAUGCAAGUCGAACGCACAGUUUAUACCGUAGCUUGCUACACCAUAGACUGUGAGUUGCGAACGGGUGAGUAACGCGUAGGUAACCUGCCUGGUAGCUGGGGAUAACUAUUGGAAACGAUAGCUAAUACCGCAUAAUAUUAAUUAUUGCAUGAUAAUUAAUUGAAAGGUGCAAUUGCACCACUACUAGUUGGAUCUGCGUUGUAUUAGCUAGUAGGUGAGGUAACGGCUCACCUAGGCGACGAUACAUAGCCGACCGGCGAGGGUGAUCAGCCACACUGAGACGGUGACACACCCCAGACGCAUACAGAAGGGGGCAGGACGGAAACUUGGGCAAGGGGCGAAAGACAGACCGAGAAACGCCGCGGGAGGGAAGAAGGAUGUCGGAUCGUAAAGGACGGUUGUAAGAGAAGAAAGGGGGUGAGAGUGGGAAGUACACAGUGUGACGGUAACUGACCAGGAAGGAACGGCUAACUACGUG